UGGCUCCACCGGCAGCCAAGGUGGAUCAGACAGUUCAGGGGGCCAGGGUUGACCCAAAAGUUCAGGGGACCACGAGGGACCAGACAGUUCAGGUGGCCAGGGUGGACCCGAAAGUUCAGGGGACCACGAGGGACCAGGCAGUUCAGGUGGCCAGGGAGGAACUCGCCACUUGAGCGACCAGAGCGGAACCUGCCCUUCCGGUGUCCCAGUGGAGACGUGAAGGUGCUCUGGACGGCCUGUGGGCACCGCAUCGGGAACGGCCGACAUUGCAUCGGGAACCACCUCGGCCACCGCAUCAGGCACCGCCUCGGCAUCGGGCACCGCCUCGGCAUCGGGCACCGUCUCGGCAUCGGGCACCGUCUCUGCAUCGGGCACCGCCUCGGCAUCGGGCACCGCCUCGGGCACCGCCUCGGCAUCGGGCACUGCCUCGGCAUCGGGCACCGCCUCGGCCACCGCCUCGGGCACCGCCUCGGCAUUGCAUCGGGGACCGCCUCGGAACCGCAUCGGGCACCGCCUCGGGCACCGCCUCGGCAUCCGGCACCGCCUCGGCAAUGGGCACCGCCUCGGGCACCGCCUCGGCAUCGGGCACUGCCUCGGCAUCGGACAUUGCAUCGGGAACCACCUCGGCCACCGCAUCGGCCUCCGGAACGUCCUGCUCGGGAACGUCCUCCUGGAUGGCAGCGGUCUGCUCGGGAACGUCCUCCGGGCUUUGAGGAACGGCUGACGCCUGUCUCCUCCUCCUGCGGCCUCUAUGAUGGCGUGCCGGUGGCUCCUUGACGGAAGACUCAGGCGUUGAGUCAACCAUCUUGUCUGCCAACACAGGUGUAGAUUCGACCAUCUUGUGCAGUGGUGCUGGGCUGGCGGUCAUCUUGUGCUGUGGCGCUGGGCUGGCGGCCAUCUUGUGCUGUGGUGCUGAACUGGUGGCCAUCUUGGGCAUUGGCGCUGGCUCAGCGGCCGUGAUGUGAACCCUCCUGGGAAACUCUGGGAUCUGGCACAUCCUGGAAAAGUAACUUAAUACUGUCUCCGCGGCCAUCUUGGGCUGUGGCGCUGGGCUGUGGCGCUGGGCUGGCGGCCAUCUUGUGCUGUGGCGCUGGGCUGGCGGCCAUCUUGUGCUGUGGCGCUGGGCUGGCGGCCAUCUUGUGCUGUGGCGCUGGGUUGGCUACCAUCCUGGACUGUGGUGCUGGCUCAGCAGCCGUGACAUGAACACUGUUGGGAAUCUCUAGGAUCUUGGACAGCACAGAAAAAUAGUCCAAGAAUGUUUCCCGUAUGCGAUUUGAAUUUGUUUUUUCAACAAGUUGAUUCCGGAUCAUUUCCUGCUCCAUGGCUCCGAAUUCGCAUGUAGCUGCAAGCUCCUUUAACGCCGCAACAUAUUGAUCCGUAGUUUCACCAUGCCAUUGUCCUCGCUGGCGAAAUCUGUACCGUUCAGCUACCACAUUCACUUUUGGCUCGAAGAAUGUGCGAAUAGCUUGGAAUGCCGUGUCAUACUUAUCAUCUGCAACCGUGAGCGUGUAAAAUGUGAAAUAAUUCGGGCGUCCGAUAGCUCUUCGUCCAUGGCCAAGACAUAAUUCUCAAAAACACGAGAGAGAGAGAGAGAUGCAGAGAGUUUGCAGGGCAGGGGACGUGAGGAACAGGAUUUUUUAUCUGGGUUUGUGAUGUCAAAAAAAUCCGGAACGUAACUCAUUGUAGUCACUACGAGCCAUUUUUGUAGGCAAUAAACUGCCAGAAUUUUAGAAGAUGAUGUCUCCGUUUGCAUUGAACUUUAAGCACCGCAACUUUGCAGAUAUUGUUUAUGCUCAAACAGUUACAUUACACUAACUAACGUUAAAAAAGUGAAAUUGCAAUCAACAGCCCUUUAAUGUAUUUGCCUUUAAAUACACAUCUCAUGAAAAAAUUUAAAAGGAGUUAAAAAAAAACAAACAAACAAAAAACUGGCCAGCACUUAUGUCUAUUUCGAUCAAUGAGGCAAGAAAAAUAUGACUGUAACGCAAGGCUGUUGGUUGAUACACAUUUAAAAACCAAAUUAAAAUUAUUAUGCCUUUUCUAACCAGGUUGUUUUAUUAACUAAAAACUCCAGCCCUAUGCUAAACUAUAAUGUUAUAUAAAUAACCUUUUGCUCACCAUCAUUUUGAUGUUAAUACCUCAAAAUUCAUAUACAGUGGAAAAAUGGUUUCAAUCUUUAAAUUAUACACUGAAAACCUAAAGCCUGGUAUCCUAUAAACAGUAACAUCUAGGUUGAAGAGUUGGGUGUGUUUUUGUGGUCAUUUUGCAGCAAUAUGCUCUAAUUAACAUUCAGUGUAAUGAUUCUAUAAAUGUUUUAAUUGUGACCUCAUAAGAGUUACUAAUACAUUAUUUAAUCACAACCCCCUGUGAUUACUGUAACACUUUUUUUUCCCCCUGGAUAAUCAGUACGCUCCAUCUCUCGAUUGCAAUAUAUUCAACAUUUUGCUGCAAGAAUGCUAAUUUACACUAAAUGGUCUGCACAUAUCACUCCUAUUCUAUUCAACCUCCAUUGGCUACCUGUAUCCUCUCGUAUCAAUUAUAAAAUUCUUCUGCUUACUGUCUUGCUGUGAUUAGACUAAAGCACAAGAAAGUUAAAGUUUGUCCUGUCUGUCUUCCUAAUGAUAAAAGCUCAGUUUUGUCUAUACAUACCCUCAGAUUCAGAGGAACCCAUCCACACCUGACAAUAAAACCCAUGGUCACAAAAAAACAAACAAAAUGAAACAAUAUGAUAUACACUGAUGAAAAAAAAAAUUAUGUGAUCAUCUGUGAAUUGAAAUAUACAUCUUUGAAUACUGUAUAUCCUUUUCAGGCCCUCUUCUUAUUAUUAGACAAUUAUGCAACCUACUAUUAUUU
ensembl:lncRNA